GCUAUCGGCCAUACCACGUUGAGUACGCCGGUUCUCGUCCGAUCUCCGAAGCUAAACAACGUUGGGCCCGGGUAGUACUUANNN
rnacentral:rRNA from 1 species